rnacentral:rRNA from 1 species
UACGGAGGGUGCGAGCGUUAAUCGGAAUUACUGGGCGUAAAGCGCACGCAGGCGGUUUGUUAAGCUAGAUGUGAAAGCCCCGGGCUCAACCUGGGAUGGUCAUUUAGAACUGGCAGACUAGAGUCUUGGAGAGGGGAGUGGAAUUCCAGGUGUAGCGGUGAAAUGCGUAGAUAUCUGGAGGAACAUCAGUGGCGAAGGCGACUCCCUGGCCAAAGACUGACGCUCAUGUGCGAAAGUGUGGGGAGCGAACAGG